GACGAACGCUGGCGGCGUGCUUAACACAUGCCAGUCGAACGGAAAGGCCCUGCUUUUGUGGGGUGCUCGAGUGGCGAACGGGUGAGUAACACGUGAGUAACCUGCCCUUGACUUUGGGAUAACUUCAGGAAACUGGGGCUAAUACCGGAUAGGAGCUCCUGCUGCAUGGUGGGGGUUGGAAAGUUUCGGCGGUUGGGGAUGGACUCGCGGCUUAUCAGCUUGUUGGUGGGGUAGUGGCUUACCAAGGCUUUGACGGGUAGCCGGCCUGAGAGGGUGACCGGCCACAUUGGGACUGAGAUACGGCCCAGACUCCUACGGGAGGCAGCAGUGGGGAAUCUUGCACAAUGGGCGGAAGCCUGAUGCAGCAACGCCGCGUGCGGGAUGACGGCCUUCGGGUUGUAAACCGCUUUCGCCUGUGACGAAGCGUGAGUGACGGUAAUGGGUAAAGAAGCACCGGCUAACUACGUG
rnacentral:rRNA from 1 species